rnacentral:lncRNA from 1 species
UUUUUUUUUUUUGUCUUUUGUCUUUUUUUUUUCUGUUGUUGUUGUUGUUGCUAUUUCUUGGGCCGCUCCCGCGGCAUAUGGAGCGGCCCAAAGAAAUAGCAAAAAAAGACAUAAAUAAAUAAAUAAAAUCUACACAACCCAAUUCAUGUGAAUUAUAUUCUUAAAAUAUAAAUGGAAUUUUCAAAUAAUUUCCCUGAAGAAAUUUUAUGACUUUUUAACCCGUUUCUUCUUUUCUCAUUAAGGUUGCAGGAGUCAACACAUAGGCUUCCUGUCAGACUAGGACUGACUGGCUUCCAAAAUGAAUGAUAUAAUACAGGGGUUUCUGUCACUCUGGAUAUAGUAUUUCUGACAGCCUGUAGGCAAAUAAAUUUAUAUCUGACAUAUGACUAGAGAUGCUAAAACCUAUAAAAACAUCUUUCAAAAGUUUAAUUAAUACUUAAAAGUUUAAAUUUCAAACAUAUUCACUGAAAGUCAGUUUUCUAAUAGUAAUAAUUUUAAUCAAGAAAAUCUCACUUAGGCCAAUUUUAAAGAUGAGUGAAUAGAUUUAUAAGAAUUACUAUUUUAAAAAGAAUUUUUAACUUAUUUUUUAUUUUACAUUGGAGUACAGCUGAUUUACAAUGCUGUAUUAGUUUCAGAUGUACAGCAAAGUGAUUCAGUUAUAUAUAUAUAUAUACCCAUUCUUUUUCAUAUUCUUUUCCCAUAGAAGUUAUUAAAAAAUACUGAGUUCCCUGAGCUAUACUGUAUAGGUCCUUGUUGAUAAUCUAUUUUACAUAAGUAAGUAGUCUAUAUAUUAAUCCCAAACACCUAAAAAUAAUUUAUUUUACCACUAAACAAAAAGAAAUUGUAAAAGCCAGAAAGAUAAUGCACCUCAAAUUUCCCAAUACUCAAGAAAAACUUUAUAGUCCCACAGAGUGAAAAAGCAAAGAACAAAGAGUUUCACAGCUUUUCAAUAGAUCGGUUGAGCAGAUAUACUAUAUCACACAUAAAAAUGGCAACAGCUUUCUAAUUUUAAAACAGGCUUUGAAAAAUUAAAUACCACAGUGCCCUCUACUGUCAUUUUUAAGGAACCCAAAUAAUCUGUAAACCCUAGGUCUUACAUUUCUGAAACUAUAUUCAAUAUAAUGAAGAAAAUGCUUUUCAUUAUUAAUAUAAUAAUUAACUUUCAUCUCAUAAAGAGAAGCAAUCUCAACUGUGUCUGUCUGCUUCAAGUGUAAAUAACAAUGAAAUUCUCAUGACCCCCUAGACUGUUUUUACCAGUACAUUAUUUUAUUUUAUAAAUGCCUCCUGAGUAAAGGCUUGGGGAGGGGAAACACUGUUAUAGGAGAGGAAGUAACUCUAUAAGGAGAAUAAAUAUCUUUAGAUAAGACUUGAAGAAAUCUGUGCCCCAGAGGGCAUACAUACCUAAAACAGCAGUCUCCAAAGUGAGUUAAGUACAAUAUCUCAAUGGACUGCAAAAAGAAAAUACUAUAACAUCUAUUUAUAAUUAAACAUUAAUAAUAUUUGGUAUAUAGAAUAAUACUCCCUCUAUGGAUGGUAUAUCACAUGGUUAUGUGUCAGGAUAUGUAGUAUUCUAAUAGAAAAGUAGGAGUUAAUGAAGUAUUAACAACAGCACCCACAAAGAAACUGUACAUACCCACAGAGAAUCUAUAUUGAGGAAAUUCAAAUUACACAAACGAACAAGUAUAUGGCAGAGCUCUUUCCUUCUUAACUCCUAUUUCAAACUCUUUAUUAGAGUUAAGAAAUACAAUCAUAUAUUACAAUAAUUUUAGAAAGUAGAAAUUAUAAAGAUCAUUUGAAUUGUAAAAUCAGAUUUUACUAUCACAAAAUUACAGUCACAGACCUCACUGUAAGUAUAUAUUAUGCAUCAAAAAUAAUAAAUAAUAAAAGUAGGACUCCAAAAUUAGCAAGACAUUUUUAAAUAGUUUAUUUCACCAUUAUCUCCUUCUUUUUAUCUUUGUUCAUGUUUUAUGAGGCAUAUUUUCAUUAGUUUAUGAUAAAUGUAUAUAUCACAGAAAUAUGUACACCUAUUAGAAUUACAUCCUAAAUUUUUUAACCAACUAUGGUAUAUAAUACCAAGAUAAUUACAAAAUAAUUACAGACCACUGGCCUAAAGAUAAGCUUGAUCUUAAUUACAGGAUCUAUAAUUAAGAAAAAAAAAUUAAUAGGUGUCAUUAUAACUAAAGAAGCCUUCAAGAGGAGCCAGAUGCUUGGAAAACAAAAGCCUGUAUACAGAGAGAUGACUAUAUACAGCAGCUAUAUAAAAGCCCCUACCACAGCUGCAAUGACAAAGUGACAGAUCAACUAAGGCUGGGAAUCUUAUCAUAAAGUUAUCAUCUAUAGUCAGUAUCCUACUAUUUCCUUUGUCCUCUUCUACAGAAAUACAAACAAAUAUAAAAAAUAUGCAGCAGGUUAAGUUAAGGAUCUGGUGAUGUCACUACAGGGGCC